AUGGACAGGUCGCAGCCUCCAGCCAGGAGCGACGGGUGCUGAGGCGCAGGCGAGGAGCGCCCGUCACAGGUGCUACUUGAGCCGCUGCUCCAGGUUCACCCCUCUCUCUCUCUCUCUCUCUCAUGUGCAUUUUCUGGAAGACACCGAACUGUGCUGCCCGCCCGUCUAUAGGGUAGAUUUGUGUGUGAGCUCUUCUAUACGAUAUACUUCUCAGGCUAAAUGGAUAUUGUUAGUGUUUGGGUGAUGAGCGGCGGGUGGAUGCUUGUAUGACGAAUUGAUGAUGGUGUAGAUUGGAAAGGAAGAUUAAUAUAUGUAAUUUUUGUGCUCUGUUAUUUACUUGGUAAUGUGUUUAUUUUUCUCUGAAAUUUAGCUCGAACAAAUGAUAGCAAGUCGAGUUCUAAGUCUUCAGUCUGACUGUUUGAUGUUGCACAGGUUUGGUGCUAGACAUGGGAUGUGCUUGGUCGUGUCCUUUCUUCGACUAUGCACCUUGGCGACCACUUGAGCAGCAGUGCAGCACCAUGCCCCAGUGAUCUCCUUAACUUGGCUAGAAACGUGAGCUCCCUAAUUUGGCUAAAAUGUGAUGCCGCAUCAAGCUGGCUAUCUAAGUAACUAUCUAAGAUGCAGUUGAUGCCUCCUUUUGGGUCUGACUAAAACAAAGAUAAUGGUGCAUCAGGCUGGCUAUCUAAGUUAUUUUCUAAGAUGCAAUCAAUGCUUUAAUUUCAACUUCUGUGUUGGUCAUGUAAAAACAUAUGUCCUACGAUUUCUUUGAUUACUAUGCUUCUGUAGUCUACGAUCCUCCUAGCCUUUGUGAAAAGAAAAACCCUUCUGCUUUAUUAUACUAGCUACGUUACUUGGAGGGAUGAUUGAUCAUUGCUUGAAUGACAACUGAGUCACCUUUCACAGUUGCAUUCCUCUGUUCUGUGCAAGCUAACAGCUAUAGUCCUCAGCAAUCGGUUGGAAUGCAGAUGUCAUAACAAACAUCGAACGCCUACUGACAUUUCACCUAAUUAAUCCUGUUAUUAUUUGUAUAAUCUGUAGCAGAUUCUUGAUAAAUUUGUCUCCAGAAAUCCAAAUACAUGACCAUGCUACUGAGCCUUCUAUUUUAGAUGACACCAAACGCACAUAAUUGAUGCACCGGGGCUCAGAUUCUCUGUAUUGAUAUGAAGGCCUGGAGUGUGUUUCUUUUGUUUUCAACCUGAGGCAACCAUCUAGGCCCAGAUAGACACAAUGAAAAGCCUGUUUCUUUGUUCAAUGCCUUAUAAAGGACGAGCAAGGCUGACCUAAUAUUUCUGGUUCCCUUCUACUAUGUGUAAAACAGAACCUGGCGGCGCAAGAGAAGGCGCCUUCUAGCACGAAGCUUCGGGCAACAAGAACUUCACCGGGAAAGGUACUUCCUUUUCAGUUUUCCUCACCUAUGAUCUUUGGAGCUUCACUUUAUUUUCAGUUUUCUCACCUACGAUCUUUGAAUGUCAACACGUUUCUUCUAGAGACGAUUUGCCGGCCACUAUGGAUGAGAAUGAGGUCUACGACCGAGCCUCGCUUGGAUCUACAUCAUCGGUAAACAAAAUAAUCCAUCCAGAUAUCCAGGUUAGUCAGACUUCACCGCCCUCUUUGCCGGUAGCUUCACUCUCUGCAGAUAUCAUGUUCAUCCAAAAAAAUAAAUUAAACAAUUAGAUAAGAUAGUUCCAAACUGUCUUUGUUAUAAAAAACCUACACUGUAUCUGCAUAUGUGUGCCUAUAUUCUUAUUCUGGGCGUACUACUCUGAUUCCAAAGCAUAUAGUGAGGUAGAUCAAUCCAAACACUUAAUUUAUGUCUUACUCAUUCAAAGAUGAUACAGAUCGGUCCAGCCACUGUAAGGGUGCCAGCCAGAAUGAUGCUUAAUCUACUGUUAGAGCAGCUUAACAUACCUGACACCAUUUACCGUGGAAGGCAAUACUCACAGGACAGUCAUUGUCACGGUGCUCUUCUACACCUCUACAUAGAUUAAUGGAAUCAAUCCGCCGCAGAUGACAAUUACUGGUGUUUGCUCUGCCAAUCAGGAAGUGGCAGAAGAUUCUGCAGCUGUGGCAGCCAUCAGGUACAUGGAAAACGCUACAAACACUGUCGUGAUGGAUCUAAACUAUGCAUGGUUUAAAAGGAUGCAGCAAGACAAUGGUUAUUUGAGACUUAGACUUGACGAGGCGUUUGAGGCGAUAGGCAAACUUUCUAAAGGCAGCUUAAUUGCGCUCAGAUACAUGUGUGCCUUCUCGGAUCAGCUUCACUACGUUAUCGAACAUGGCUUUCCACCUACUCGUGUUAUAAUAGACAAAACCACCAAUUAAACCCUUGUGAAUAUUGAAGUGGUGGUGAAUAAUCUGAAGGACAGAAGCUGCCAUUUGGAGAAAAAACUAUGCACGGCCAAAAGACAGGCUCAAGCACGAGAGCAUGAGAUAUUCGCACCGGUACGUAUUACAGUGUAUUCCUAUUGGUCAUUAUGCAAGUUGGUUUCUACUAAUAAACAAUGAAACCUUCUCUACACAGUUCAUUCGCCAGCGAUGACCAGCCAGUGCCAAGAACAACUUGCUUCGGCGCUAUUGAUGCUACCACUCAAUGAACUGGGUUCACGUUUUGGAGCAGUGCCUACCUCUGGAUAUUAUGUUUCAUCAAAACUGCUUCUGCUUGAUGCCUAAGCCUUUUGUACUAAUACCUACUCCCGAAUGUUAUGUUGCAUCAAAAUGAUGCUUAGUAUGAAAAAAUGGCAGUCUCUGUUAGCCCUGUAUGUGGUUUGCUUGCUCAAUAUUCAUCUCACUAACGCUUUGUCUGCUUUUGUUGCUCUAUAGCACUGAACUAUAUGCCCUGCUUCUGUUAAUCAAGCUACAUGCUUUUGC
rnacentral:lncRNA from 1 species